rnacentral:rRNA from 1 species
UACGGGAGGCAGCAGUGGGGAAUAUUGCACAAUGGGCGAAAGCCUGAUGCAGCGUAUGCCGCGUGUAUGAAGAAGGCCUUAGGGUUGUAAAGUACUUUCAUCGGGGAGGAAAAACAAAACUAAUAAUUUUAUUUCUUGACGUUACCCGAAAAAGAAGCACCGGCUAACUCCGUGCCAGCAGCCGCGGUAAUACGGAGGGUGCUAGCGUUAAUCAGAAUUACUGGGCGUAAAGAGCACGUAGGUGGUUUUUUUAAGUCAGAUGUGAAAUCCCUGGGCUUAACCUAGGAACUGCAUUUUGAAACUGAAAUACUAGAGUAUCGUAGAGGGAGGUAGAAUUCUAGGUGUAGCGGUGAAAUGCGUAGAUAUCUGGAGGAAUACCUGUGGCGAAAGCGGCCUCCUAAACGAAUACUGACACUGAGGUGCGAAAGCGUGGGGAGCAAACAGGGAUUAGAUA